CACUAACAUCUUUUACAAGCGUAACUGUCUUCUCUUGCAGUGUGUGUGCGUGUGUAUCUGUGUGCUCCUGUGUGUGUGCACGUGUGUAUCUGUGUGCAUCUGUGUAUCUGUGUGUCUAUCCAGGUGCACGUGCGCAUGCGUCCAUUUUCCAAACCCCGGGUGCUUCCCAGCAACGUUCAGGUCUGACUUCGCAGGGGCUCUUGGCUGGUGUCCCUCAGAUGUUUGCUUUCCCUAGGUCAUCCAUCUCAGGGGUUCUGUGAAACGUCGGGUUCUGCCCGCAGGCCUCUCUCUCACGCUUGCGUCCCGCAAACCUGUGCCUCUCACUGCCUCCUCAUUCCAUCAGAGCCAGGUCCUGUCCUGCCGCUCCCUCCUCAAGGUGCUGCUGGGUGCUGGGCUCUGGCCAGCCUCGCAGGACCCCCGCUGCAGCCGCACAACCUGGGAACAGCUAAGCCAUGUGGCUCUGAGCGGGCUCGUUUCAAUUACAAACCCCACAGGCUCAAGGGGAGGUUUAAGGCUGUUUAUUGACGCUGUUGGCGCACCCAGACCUGGAGACUUCUCCCGCCCUCCCUGGCUUGUACACACAGGCAGUAAAAGGACCCAUAAACCAGCCUUUAAUGGCCCCUUGUAAAAAAGCCUCCCUAUAAAGAUGCAGAGCAGGGGGAGCGCCGUGGGCCUGGGGAAGGCAGAGCUUCCUGUCCUGCAGGCCUGCUGCAAGUGCUGAUCCUUCAAUGGCACGUCCUGCCUCCCAGCAGCCCCGGGAAGGGGCAGCUUCAGAGAUGCCCUGGCCAGAUGGGACCAUCCUGAUUGUCUAGUCUCUCCUCCUGUAUAACACAGCGCAUGGGAUUUCCCAGGCGUAAUUCCUGGUUGAACUAGUGCAGGUCUUUUAGAAAAAUAGCCCAACUUGAUUUAAAAAUGGCCAGUGAUGGAGAAUCCACCACGCCCCCAGGUACGUUGUUCCAAUGGUUAAUUCACCUCCCCCCACCCAGCCACCCCAGGUUAAAAAUGUGCAACUUCUUUCUAGUCUGAAUUCAUCCAGCUUUCAACAUCCAGCCCCUUGAUCUUGUUCUUUCUGAGCUGGACUGACGAACCCUCUAUUAUCAAAUUUCUGUCUACACCUAGGUACUUAUAGACUGGGCUGGCUACCCCUUAGCCUUCUCUUUGGGAAGGGAAACCAUCAGCAUCCUUUCUUCGUUCUUAUGGCUCUUCUCUGAACCCACUCCAAUUUAUCAACACUCUUCUUGACUUGUGGGCACCAGAACUGGACACAGCGUUCCAGCAGUGGUCGCACCAGUGCCAAAUACAGAGGUAAUAUGACCUUCCUACUCGCACACGAGAUUGCCUUGCUUAUACAUCCAAAGUUCACAUGAGCCCUUUGGGCCACAAACAUACACUGGGAGCUCUUAUACCGUAUGAUCCCCAAGUCCUUUCCAGAGUCACUGCUUCCCAAGAUAGAGUCCCCCUCCUCCAUCCUGUAAGUAUGGCCUACGUCCUUUGUUCCUAGAUGAAUGUCUUUACAAUCGACUGUAUUAAAAUGCAUUUUGUUUCCUUGUGCCCAGUUUACUAAGCAAUCUAGAUCGCUCCGCAUCACUGAGCUGUCCUCUUCAGUAUUUUUCACUCCCCCCAAUCUGUGUGUCCUCUGCAAACUUUAUCGGUGCCGAGUUUACGUUUUCUUCCAGGUCACUGAUAUAAAUAUUAAAUAGCACAUGGCCAAGAACCAACCCCUGCAGGACGCCGCUAGACACACUGCCCCUCGAUGAUUCCACAUGUGCAAUGACCUGUUGUGACUUAUCAGUUAGCCAGUUUUUAAUCCAAUUAAUGUGGGCCACGUUCAUUUUGAACUGUUCUAGGUUCUUAAUCCAAAUGUCAGGAGGUACGAAGUCUAGCACCUUACACAGUCUGGGAAUUUUACAUCAACACUAUUACCUUUAUCAGCCACCUCUGUAAUCGCUUCAAAAAUGAUAUCAAGUUAGUUUGACAAGAUCUAUCUUCUAUAAAUACACGUUGAUUGGCAUUAAUUCCAUUACCCUCCUAUACGUCUUUAUUAAUCGAGUCUCAUAGCAGCCAUUCCAUUAUUUUGCCCGGGACUGAUGUGGUUUAGCUUAGCCUAGCAGCCCCUCCAUCACUUUGCCCUGCCCAGAUCCACCAGUCCAUGUAUUUAGGCAAAGCCCAUCACCCAGCCCAGAUCAUAGGAUCUAGGGCUGGGCACCACGGACAGGGCCCUGCAGGAAGAUCCAGCUUAGCUGUUUUACCAGUGUCCAAAGAGGAGCUAGACACUGUCCUUGCAGCGGCUUGGCUCAGACGCUCUCACAGAACCGGGGUUAUCACCAGCUGGAUAUGAUGAUGGGACCAAGCUCUCCCAGCACCAGGCAGGGAUGCCACACAGACACGGCUCCAGUAUACUGAAGCCUAACUAACCAUUAGUACAUUGCCCUCAUGUUGCACCAUUCCCUGGAGGACCUCCAAGUGCUUUACAAAGGGAGGUGAGUAUCAUUAGCCUCAUUUUACAGAUGGGGAAACUGAGGCAUGGAGGGGGCACUGAUUCAGACAGUUAAGAAUAGAACCCAUCAGUCCCUGUUCUAUCCAGCGAUCUGGCGGCAAAGCAGUAAAGCACAAAGGGCUGGCCUUGAGCAAAUCGCAGCCCUGACAAGUCUGGAUUAAUAGCUGCAUGGUCUUGACACCCUUCACCUCUCCCCCGGGGUCCUGGGAACACAGAGUCCCAUCAAGACAGGCUCUGCGCUUCUUCGGCCUUCUGAGAGAGAAACACUCACUCCAGGCACUUUGUGUGGUGGGGUCUUGCAGAGGAGACCUUGGACACUGAGCCAGCCGGUUCUGUGAUGAAAGCAGGUCUUGGUACAUCCCAUCCCCUCUCCCUUGCCAACAGUGCGAAGCAGCGUGGAUUUUGUUGGGGUGCUGGUGGAUGGACAUGGAUGGUGCAAAUGGGCAUCGAUCAAUGACUGCAGCGGAGCUCUGCUGCUUUACACGGCCGGGGCUCUCGCCCACACUUUAGGCCGAAAGGUGCUAAGAAUAUAAACAGCUUAUUAAUUAUUACUGCAGCUAUGCCAGCCCACUCCCCCUGCAGCCAGCCCGCGCCUAGGAGUGCUCUGGGUCCAUAAGAAGCCUACACACCAGCACAUCCCACUCCAUACACAGNNNNNNNNNNNNNNNNNNNNCCCGCCCUGUGCUGACACCGCGCAUCCUUCCCCAUUGCUCCUGCUCCCGUGGGUGCUGAAGCCCUGCGCACCCCAGAGCAGAGCUGCAGAGAAGCUGUCAUUGAUCCAUUCAUUCAUCCUGCAAAGGGAGCCCUGGGGGGCUGGGAAUUCUGUGAGGUGGGAGCUCUGGCUGGAGUGAAGUGCCUCGUCUCGCCCUGCAAGAAGAGCUCCGCGUGCGGCUAGUAGGGACAGCUGCACUCAUGCUGAGGUGCUUUCCUACCGCAGCCUGAUCUCACCCACACCGGCGUUAUGGAGCGAGAGCGGGAACAGCAUCAGCCCCUGAGUCUGGGAGCUAAUAAAACCCCCAGCUGCCUGUCUCCCCA
rnacentral:lncRNA from 1 species